rnacentral:rRNA from 1 species
AUUGAACGCUGGCGGCAGGCCUAACACAUGCAAGUCGAACGAGUGGCGGACGGGUGAGUAAUGUCUGGGAAACUGCCUGAUGGAGGGGGAUAACUACUGGAAACGGUAGCUAAUACCGCAUACCAUCAGAUGUGCCCAGAUGGGAUUAGCUUGUUGGUGGGGUAACGGCUCACCAAGGCGACGAUCCCUAGCUGGUCUGAGAGGGUGACCAGACACACUGGAACUGAGACACAGUCAAGCCUCGUAUGGGAGGCAUCAGUAGCGAAUAUUGCAUAAUGGGCGCAAGCCAGAUGGAGCCAUGCCGCGUUUAUGAAGAAGUCUUCCGGGUUGUAAAGUACUUUCAGCAGGGAGGCGUUACCCGAAGAAGAGGCACAGGCUAACUCCGUGCCAGCAGCCGCGUUAAUAC